rnacentral:lncRNA from 1 species
GGCACGACUCUACAGUCUACAUACUACGGGUCUCCAUCCUGAUUCCUCCACUCUUCAUACUCCAAUUUGAUCUUAGUUGCAAGUAUUGGUUUAGAGUUUCCUGAUUUGCAAUGUACAGACCUACAGCCUUCGGGAUCGGGACGGCGACCUGGAGCCGUCCAGCCUGCGAGAUCAGGACGGCGAUCUCGAGCAGUCCGCAUGUCUUAAGAUUUGGCAGGUUUGUUCAUGUACCCAACUGGAGCUCUUCUUCACAUGAGUUGAGAUCAGAAACGUGAAACAACAUCAAACACUGAUGAUUUCAAAUCUAUUUUAUCACUAUUGUACGG